CCCGUUUCACGGUGUUUAAUGCGAAGAACCUUACCUACUCUUGACAUCCAGAGAACUUAGCAGAGAUGGUUUGGUGCCUUCGGGAACUCUGAGACAGGUGCUGCAUGGCUGUCGUCAGCUCGUGUUGUGAAAUGUUGGGUUAAGUCCCGCAACGAGCGCAACCCUUAUCCUUUGUUGCCAGCGGUCCGGCCGGGAACUCAAAGGAGACUGCCAGUGAUAAACUGGAGGAAGGUGGGGAUGACGUCAAGUCAUCAUGGCCCUUACGAGUAGGGCUACACACGUGCUACAAUGGCGCAUACAAAGAGAAGCGACCUCGCGAGAGCAAGCGGACCUCAUAAAGUGCGUCGUAGUCCGGAUUGGAGUCUGCAACUCGACUCCAUGAAGUCGGAAUCGCUAGUAAUCGUAGAUCAGAUGCUGGAGACC
rnacentral:rRNA from 1 species